rnacentral:rRNA from 1 species
AUUGAACGCUGGCGGCAUGCUUUACACAUGCAAGUCGAACGGUAACAGGGUGCUUGCACCGCUGACGAGUGGCGAACGGGUGAGUAAUGCGUCGGAACGUGCCGAGUCGUGGGGGAUAACGCAGCGAAAGUUGUGCUAAUACCGCAUACGUACUGAGGUAGAAAGUGGGGGACCUUCGGGCCUCACGCUAUUCGAGCGGCCGACGUCUGAUUGGCUAGUAGGUGAGGUAAGAGCUCACCUAGGCGACGAUCAGUAGCGGGUCUGAGAGGAUGAGGCGCCCCACUGGGACUGAGACACGGCCCAGAAUCCUACGGGAGGCAGCAGUGGGGAAUUUUGGACAAUGGGCGCAAGCCGGAUCCAGCCAAGCCGCGUGUCUGAAGAAGGCCUUCGGGUUGUAAAGGACUUUUGUCAGGGAGGAAUCCUAGUGGCUAAUAACUGCUGGGGAUGACAGUACCUGAAGAAUAAGCACCGGCUAACUACGUGCCAGCCGCCGCAGUAA